rnacentral:rRNA from 1 species
UACGUAGGGUGCAAGCGUUGUCCGGAAUUAUUGGGCGUAAAGGGCUCGUAGGCGGUUUGUUGCGUCGGAAGUGAAAACUCAGGGCUUAACCCUGAGCCUGCUUCCGAUACGGGCAGACUAGAGGUAUGCAGGGGAGAACGGAAUUCCUGGUGUAGCGGUGAAAUGCGCAGAUAUCAGGAGGAACACCGGUGGCGAAGGCGGUUCUCUGGGCAUUACCUGACGCUGAGGAGCGAAAGUGUGGGGAGCGAACAGG